rnacentral:lncRNA from 1 species
GGAGCCAGUGACCUUUGAGGACGUGGCUGUGAACUUCACCUCAGGAGAGUGGACUAUGUUGGAUUCCAGUCAAAAGAAGCUCUACAGAGACGUGAUGAAGGAGACAUUUCUGAACCUGAUCUCUAAAAUACACUAGAAGAAAGUAGUGAAGAUGAUGACCACAUCGAACUCAGCAGAAAUCCAGGAAGCCAAGUGGUCGAGAAAGGCCAUGAAUAUGAAUGUGGACAUUCGCCCUCACAAGUGUAUGUCAGAGACAAAGCUAGAGGGGAAGACUCUCAAUGUCAGGAAACUGUGGCAAAGCCUUGUAUACAUCAGAAAGAUCUGGAAAAUAGUCCUGAACCACUUCAGGUACUUCAAACGGUACUUCAAACGUCUAGAGAGAAACCGUAUAAGUGGCAACGGUAUGAGGGAGCAGGUAGCAGUCUUGCUUCCUGUCGGUCUCAUGAGAGCACAGAAGGCAGAGAGGAACUCAACUGGACCGUGCUAAGGAGAUGCACAUGUGGCCAGAAAAAUGAUGGACUCCAUACAGAAUUGAAACCAUAUGAGCAUAAGCGCUGUGAAGAAGCCUUCCUCGAGUCCAGUAGCCUCAUCAACCAUGGAAAAUGUCAUAUCGGAGAGAAGACUUACAUUUGUAAGCAGUGUGGAAAAACCUUCAAGUAUGCAAAGAGUUUUGAGAAACAUAAAGUAACUCACGCAGAAAUGAAGCCUUAUGCAUGUAAGCAUUGUGGGAAAAUCAGGAAAGGAUUCACACUGUCGAGAAACUGUCGAUUACCAUGUGGGAAACUGUUCCGUUGUUCUCAUCAUUCAACCAAGUAUAACAUCUCACAUUGGAGAGGAAUGUUACCAGUGCGGAAAAACCUUCACUACUUCAAGUGUCUGUGACAUUCAUGGAACAACUCACACUAGAUAGAAGCCUUGUGCAUGUAAGCACCGUGCAAAAGCUCUCAGCAGUUGCAGCUGCUGUAAAAGUCAUGAAAGAAAUUCAGCCUGAAGACAAGCCUUGAAGGCGUAACUGUGGGGAAAAGCCUUGAGCAGCCAUAGUUCCUAUUGCACUCAUAAAGUAAUUUCACAGUGGUGGGGAACUUGAUCCUUGGAACAAAUGUGGGAAAUAAUUCAGUAUUUAGAAGCACUAUCCAUGCAAGCAGUGUGUGCCUGCAUGUCUGUGUUUCUUGUCUUCAAGAACCUAUACUAUCUCACGGUGCAAAGAAAUGCAGCAGGGAGAACUUGUACCAGUAGUAAAUUCUGUGACACUGCAUUUGACAACUUGUGAGUUUGAAGGAAGAAUGUGUUUGGACCAUGAACUCUGUCAGCUAAUAACGGUUCUUGUUCAAAACGUGAUCAUUUAGGUUACCCUGUCCUGUGCUCUCUCUCUGCUCACGUGAGUUCUUGGCUGUUCUGCCACCAUAGUUUGCUCCAUCAUUACAGCCUCUAACCCUCUGUCACUGUCAGCCCAAUAUAAUCCUUCCAUUUAAAAGUUACUUCAGUAUUCGUGACUUGUCACAGCUAUU